CAGGAUUCCGCAUCAGUUAGUGGAUAAUUAAAGUGGAUCAUCUAUUCACAAGUGGUGGAUAUGCCUUCACGUGCAGGCUUUAUGGAGAACAGGUUUUCAAAUGCUAUGUACAUGCAUCCACACAGAUAUUAAGCCUGACUGCUCGAUUGUGAUUACCAAACAUUCAGACUUGCCAAAAAAAGCAAAGAAACUGAUCGACUUUCCACAUUUUUUUCAGAAUUAUAUCAACAAGAUUUGGUACAUUUUUUAUAUGGAGAAAAUGACUGCUGAGCUGCAUGACACAUCUUCCCUCAUUCAAAAAAGAAUUGGUACCCCUGGUUGGAUUGUUAUGCUGACUAGUCUGGAUAAGAGAGGUGCUUUUCUUAUGAACCUAGAAGAGGUGGUAUAAACUUAAC